AGAACGAACGCUGGCGGCAUGCCUAACACAUGCAAGUCGAACGCUUUUGGGGCUUCGGUUCCAAAGGAGUGGCGCACGGGUGAGUAGCGCGUGGGAACCUGCCCUGGAGUGGGGGAUAACCGAGGGAAACUUCGGCUAAUACCGCAUACGCCGGGAAACCGGGAAAGAUUUAUCGCUCUAGGAGGGGCCCGCGUCGGAUUAGCUAGUUGGUGGGGUAACGGCCUACCAAGGCUUUGAUCCGUAGCUGGUCUGAGAGGAUGAUCAGCCACACUGGGACUGAGACACGGCCCAGACUCCUACGGGAGGCAGCAGUGGGGAAUAUUGGACAAUGGGCGCAAGCCUGAUCCAGCAAUGCCGCGUGAGUGAUGAAGGCCUUCGGGUUGUAAAGCUCUUUCGCACGCGAGGAUGAUGACGCUAGCGUGAGAAGAAGCCCCGGCUAACUUCGUGCCAGCAGCCGC
rnacentral:rRNA from 1 species